CAGCAGCCGCGGUAAUACGUAGGUGGCAAGCGUUGUCCGGAAUUAUUGGGCGUAAAGGGCUCGCAGGCGGUUUCUUAAGUCUGAUGUGAAAGCCCCCGGCUCAACCGGGGAGGGUCAUUGGAAACUGGGAAACUUGAGUGCAGAAGAGGAGAGUGGAAUUCCACGUGUAGCGGUGAGAUGCGUAGAGAUGUGGAGGAACACCAGUGGCGAAGGCGACUCUCUGGUCUGUAACUGACGCUGAGGAGCGAAAGCAUGGGGAGCGAACAGGAUUAGAUACCCGAGUAGUCCCUGUCUCUUAUAC
rnacentral:rRNA from 1 species